GACGAACGCUGGCGGCGUGCUUAACACAUGCAAGUCGAACGGAAAGGCCCUGCUUUCGUGGGGUGCUCGAGUGGCGAACGGGUGAGUAACACGUGAGUAACCUGCCCUUGACUUUGGGAUAACUUCAGGAAACUGGGGCUAAUACCGGAUAGGAGCUCCUGCUGCAUGGUGGGGGUUGGAAAGUUUCGGCGGUUGGGGAUGGACUCGCGGCUUAUCAGCUUGUUGGUGGGGUAGUGGCUUACCAAGGCUUUGACGGGUAGCCGGCCUGAGAGGGUGACCGGCCACAUUGGGACUGAGAUACGGCCCAGACUCGUACGGGAGGCAGCAGUGGGGAAUAUUGCACGAUGGGCGGAAGCCUGAUGCAGCAACGCCGCGUGCGGGAUGACGGCCUUCGGGUUGUAAACCGCUUUCGCCUGUGACGAAGCGUGAGUGACGGUAAUGGGUAAAGAAGCACCGGCUAACUACGUG
rnacentral:rRNA from 1 species